UUCGUCUUCUCCUACGACUCGCAGGGCUACGGUGGAUGUAUUCAACCCCACCUCCACACGGGAUUAGUAACAUCCAUUACUUUUUAAGUUAUAGGCCCUUCAUGUGACAUCAUUACUUGUGAAUCACAUUUUGUGUUUGAUCACAAUGUGCAAUCUUCUUUUGAAGAAGUUGUUAUAUGUCUACUCCACUGAAGUAAACCAGUUUACCAAAUAUACAUUUUUGUUUCCCUUAUAUCACUGCCCUUGAUGUUAAUUUACUGAAGAAAAUCCUAAAAAUUUUUUGUUGUAAAUCGUUUUGCAAAUUUCGCACUAGUGAAUUAAAAAUAUUUCUUUAGAUGUUUCUAACAGGCAGUGGUGUUUUAAAUACUGUCACGUGUCAGAGUCUCUCUCGAUCCUCUCGACGCUCGAUGGGGUUCCGGACUGGAUGUCAGAUCGAAGGGCCACCUACGGAUCGCUACAACAAGAAACUACAACAGUCCCACUGCACCACACACUCCAAAUAUCACCGUAACUGCAGCACACGUGAAGUCUUCUCUGUCUUCGUGUUCCAGAUAGCGAAGAGGCCGUGACCGACCGUUACUUCGUUAGCAGUUUCCUAGCAAGUGAACACAACUUAUUCAUGUCUUUGAUCUCUUGGCUACGCUCAAAGUAAUUCUGCAAUGAUCGACGACUUACAGUUUUCAAAAAGGAAAUUGAGGGCCCUUGCUCAAGCUAAAAUUGACAAACUGAAAGGCGAAGAGGAAGAAUUCAAAAAAAUGUUGGAAAAAAUAAAAGAAGUAAACAUGAGGAUAAAAAGGAGAAUCGUGAAGCGCGCAUUGUUCUUAAUGCUAGCAGCCGUAUUCUGUUUGUUGGCCACAUCACUCUUUAUACCUAUAGAGAGAGAAAGAGAAAUAGUUUGCUGAAAACUAAACCACAGUAAGGAAUAUUGUUAAAGAAACCUGUGCCAUAUUAUUGGAAGUCUCAUCUGUCAACUUAGCUGGGACAUCUCUCCCAUCUGGACUCUCAUCACAGAAGUCAGAAAACUAGACCUCCGUCCAGUGUAGCUUAUGUGUGAAAAUUGUGUUUUUAUAUUUGUACCAUACAGAGAAGUUGUCUCUUCAGUGAUGACUUCUAUUCUGUUAGUACUCUAAUUUUAACAAUAACCAUGAAAUGUACUUGCAUUGCUUCCUAGUCUGCUAGCUGUAAAACACUUGUAAAAGAAGCAAAAAUAAAAGCAAAUGUAUCCCUGUAACAGGCCGUGGAGGCCCAUAGGGUAGUGAGAUGUUGAGGU